UCUGCAGGCCUCCAUCUGACUGUGCUCUCACCCCUUCUCUGCUGUCUCUCUGCAGGUGUCCCUCUGAAGAGUCCCUGAGCCUGCUUGCACCCCCUAGAGAUUAAAGGCUCCUUGCCCGCGACUGCCCCACAACGAUGCCUGUGACCUUGACUGCAGUGAUGCGGCACUCCACAGCCAUGUCCUGGUUGCACUGAGCCUGCCUCCUGCCAGCAUUUCGGGGCUCUGUCCCUGCCCAGCUCCUGGACCCACUCCCCAGCCUAUUCCUCACCCCAGCCUGCACCGAAGUGACUCCUCAAGCUUCAGGACUCAGUGGGGCACAGUGGCAGUCACGUGCAUGCUGGGACCGAGACGGACGGGCCGCCGCUCCCCCUGCCACGCCCCCGGCCCCCAGAGGCCCGGCUGUUUGCCUCCCGGAGCCGUCUGACCCAGGUAGGGGGAGA
rnacentral:lncRNA from 1 species